rnacentral:lncRNA from 1 species
UCAAAAUCUUUAAUUAAAGCAUAGUUUCUUAAAGCACACAUUUUUUAAAUUUCAAAAAUAGAGACUUUCUGGCUCUACAUUUCCUGGAACUCACAUUGGAAAACAGUACCUGCAUUUGAAUUGUUGGGAUACAGUUACACAAUGAAAAAAGCACAGUGUGACAGAUCAAUAGGAUUUUAGUUGUUAUUUCUCCUUCCUCUAUGAUUAUAUAGUAUUAACUUUUAGAAACAGGCAUUAUCUUAAAUAAUAUAUACUUUGAUACUUACCACGACAGUGAAGACUUCCAAAAUAAUUAGAUUUUUAGGAACACUGAUUUUUGCACAAGCGUGGGUGAUGGCCUAGCAUAGUCUUUUUAAAAAAAUCCAACAGCAAAAAAUAGUACCAACUGAAAUACUUCUUAUUGCCCUUACCUUACCUAUAUUAGAAAAUGCAGAAUUUGCACUCACCAACCAGAGCCUAUUUGACAAGCAAGUAAAUUUCUGCUUGCCAUAAUGAUAGUUUUAUAGUUGGAAAAUGUGGUUUUUUGUUGAAAGGUGAUUAUUUCCAAAUUUUAAGCAUGAAUUUUACACAUGAAUUUUAAGCACCUUUUCCUCACAAACUGCCUGAUGAAGAGUGAAUGGUGGAGAACACCAAUUUAUGCAUGUGAUGCCCAUGGAAAAACACAGUUAAGCCCUAUCACAUCAUUAGCAAUUUAAGGAGUAUUGACACUGGGCAGGGGAGGGCACAGGAUUGAAAGAAUCUCACAGAGGAAAAAUUUAACAGUGGUCCAAGACAAUUCCAUUGAGAAGUUAAUGCAUUGCAAGAAUAAUCUGUUCACAAUAGUUCUGAGUAACUUCAAUUUGGAUCUAUUUAGCCUCCAUUGCAUUGCAAUUGCUACACUGCUUAUCUAGGAGUAGUCAAAAACAUGCUAUAGCAAAAAGGAUGCCCUGUUAUACAUGAAAUCUGAGUUCCAGAGAGAAACUGCGCUUUAAACCUAUCUCACUAAGGGUUUGUUAAAGAAGAGAUUUUUUUUUUCUUGCACUUCUGGUUCUGGGGUUGGUUUCAUAUGGAUGUGACUAGUAAGUGCUAAAUAUGGAAUAAGGCCAAGAGAAUACAGACAAGGGUGAUGUGCUUUUGAAGCUCAUGGAGUGAUGGACCAGAGCAGUUACAAAGAUGACUUUAUCUCAACUCAGAGGUAACAUGAGGUAGCCUUUGUUUUGGAUAAAUGGCUAUCAAAGUUUGAGUGGAUCAACCAGUACUUUUUUAGCAAUAAUGAAGACCAGGCCAGCAUGGGGAGAAUGAAUACAUAGAAAUAAAAGCCAGACAACUGCCAUAACAAUUUCAGAGAGAACAGGGCGCUUUAACUGAUCAACCCUCCCAUUCUUUCUUGACACCUGAGGAUUGACAUGAUGACAGUGAAGAUGUAUUUCAUUAGGACCAGUAAAGGGAGUCAUAUUGGUACUGUGAAGGAUCUGUAUACUGCAAUGUCUGUAUUAAUUAUAAUAUUAUGUUUUUGUGUUUUCAGUAUACUUUGUAUCAGUAUACUUUAUAAACCAGAAAUGCCAUGUGACAUGAACCAUCUUCAGGUAAGUAAAUCUAAUAUAUUAAACAUGACACCCUCGAUCCAUGGGAUAUUUCCAAGAGCCUUGUCAAGUGUUGGAUUUUCACAAAGGGCGUGGAAAAAGGCACCCAGAAAGUCUGUCCUUUAAACAGUUCUAUUCCUGAUCCAAGUCCUCUCUAUCAAAGUCUGUCCAAGUUCUCAAGGCUGACAAAGAUUUCAGACAGACCAAGCAGCCACUGGUGUUUUUGAUCCCUCAACUCAGCAUGUGGUGGUGGCCCUGCUGUAUAGCACAGCAGCAGAUGAAAAACUCUGUCACUAGCACCUCCAACUCCCAGCUCUUCCAAGCAUGCCAGUAGCUGCAGUUUAGUUACAGCACUAACAGGAUAAAGUGGCAAACCCCUAAGUCCUUGUACCCUGAUAUCACAAUGAGACUAGACCCUUGGCAUCAGCUAUUACUAAUGCAAGAAAAUCCAAAGUGAGAGGGAUGCCAAGAGCAGGAGGGUAAAUAAUGAAACAUCACUUCUUAUCUUUGUGAGCUUGGUUUUUCUUCUGUCAGUGCUUUGAUGCCAUUCUUUUAAGACAGCAGAAUAAUUUCAUUGUUUUCUGCUCAGUUGAAGGGGUCACCUCUUCAUUAUCACUCCUUCCAGCACAGCUUUUCUCUACGCAUCCUUGUAUUUCUUCCUGAGUUCAUGAUUUGCUAUUACUACACUGAUCUUUCCCCAUUCUUCCCAAAAUGCUCACUGGACUGAAUCUCUAAACAGUACUUAAAACACAUUAUAUUUGUCCUGGUUUCAUGCUUCCAGGUGCUUUUUGUCCAUCUCUUCAACCAAGAGAUCAUACCUAUUAAAUCAUACCCAUUUUAAAGUGAACUAUUACUUAAUGUUGAUUUUUUUGAGUUCUAUCUCUUUCUCCCACUGAUCAGACCUUUCUAGCCUCUGGUAUUCUUUCACUCUGGUAGCAGCUUUAUUGGAUUUUACUUUUCCCACACUAGCUUCUAAGGUUCCAAGUCUUUGCUAGAGCUAGCAAAAACUCUUAAAAGAAGCACUCAAUCCAAAAGCAACAGAAAUAUAACCAAACAACUAACAAGUAUAGAAUUCCUGGAUCAGAGUAUGUCAGCUUAUUAUUCUCUUCUGGCAUGAGAAAGAAAAAACAGCAAGGUACAAAAUGUUUAUGUUUUCACAGAACUGUCCUGCUCAUUCAUUUCCAGUACACAAAUUUCAAUAUUUUUCACUCAGUCACUACUGUACAAAUCUCAACAGAGGAACUAUUGCUAAAAGUAUGCAACAGCUUACCGAGUCCUGCUAACUAGCUGCAAAACAUUGUAGAGACAAGUGAAUACAGAUUAUGAAUAGUCACACUAGUAACUAGUUUAGUAACCUAAACAGGGAGAGCAGAAACUUUAUUCAAUUUAUUUAGGUUUGGUUAAUCUCCAACAUAACAGUCAUUAAAUGUGAUGCACUAUCUGAGGCUGCGCUGAAGAUACAGCUAUCUGCAAGAAUUGUAUCACAAAUGCAAAAAAGACAUUUCUUGAGAAAUUAAAAAAAAAAAAAAAUCUGCUGAAGAUAAAAUGUAUUUCAAGUUAAAUUCUAAGUAACACAGCCGAAGUGUAACAGUUGUUGCUUCCUCCAAAGACUGAAGGCUGCUCCCAUCCAAGCACAAACUGUUCAGUACUUGCUCAGCAUAUGCUACUCAAAGACAAAAAGCUCUGAUUUCAUGCACAAUAUUCAGUGAUUGAAAUGUAUUUUUAUGCAAAGAAUCAUUUUUCACAUUCAAUUAUUGAUCCACUGAUGAGUCAGCAUUGCAUUACUUCCAACACUACAUAUAUAUAUAUGUAGUGUGUAUAUAUAUAUAUAUAUAUAUAUAUAUAUAUAUGUACAUAUCUUCAGUUUUUCAUAUGUACCUGUUAUAGUUCUGGGAAAAAAAAGGAAAAUUAUAUUAAAGUUGUGUAAUAUAAGAUUAAUAAUCUUAAUGGCAUAAGUGUACUAGAGGUACAGAUUUUGAGUUUGGGCCCAAAGCACACUUUUACCCCAAGGCCUGUUUUCAUACAAAAAAGUGUAACCAGCUGAAAGCUCAAUUCUUAUGGGCUCAAAUGCCCAAUAUUCCUAUUUAUCAACUCAGGGUUUUUACUUCUGAGUCUCUUAAGUCAUUCUUUGGUAUUCUUACCUUAAGCACAGACAUUUCUCUCUUCUUUCUUCUAAAGGCACUUUCAUAUUAAUAUAUGCUUGCCAAUCCUAAACUGUAGUACUGCAUAUGAUUCAAGUGAACAAUAUCAUAGCAACACUAUCAUAUGUAAAUGACAGUCAUGAAGAAAGGCGAAUUCCUUUCUUUGCAAACUUAGUGCAACUUAACAUGAAUCUAAAACCUAAACCUGAAAUGCAGUAGUUCUUUUUAGGCCACUCACUACAUUAAUCCAAAGGGUGGCUGGUAGUAGUGCAUUACGGAAUAAUAUGACUAAGACCUGCAACACAAUUUAAUAUGCAUGCCAUGUUCUACUAGUGUAUAUAUUUACACCUGCUGCCAACUGCUUUACAUGAAGGAGUAAAGCUGCACCAGGAGUGACAGCAGCAAAUCUGUGCUUAACAGAUAUAGCUAUUUUGGUACCUUAAAUAUGACAGAUGACUGAGAUUUACAGUUCCGUUAUCACAGCUAGGCAAAGACAUUGCAUCACUGUCAUCACAAUUUCUUUUCUAUAUUUGAAUAUACCAUCAACUAGAGAAACUCUUAAGCUAUAUUCAAGUCUGACAGACUGAAAAAUAAAAUUGUCACAUUCUAAGAAACUUCCAGUUGAAGCAGUAAUCAAUUUCACUUAAUCUCAUUCUCACAAAGUUUUGGAUUGGAGGGGUUGUAUUUUUUAGUUUUUGUUGGUUUGUUCUGUUUUUAAACAGUCUUGUAACUAUCCUUUUUCACUAGGAAUUUACAAUCUGCUGACCAAAAGUGGACAUUUUCACAAGUCCUUUAAAGCAUUUCUCAAAGAACCUAUUUGUCAUUGUGUUUUGAAAGGCAGAUCAAAGUUAGAGGAAUAAACAGUAACUUUGCAACAGCAGGAAGGAGACUGAAAAACAAAACAAUUCUCUCAGCCUUCUCAGAGAACAGUCAGAACUAAACUGAAUGCAUCACAAGAGAUUGAGCCCAGCAGAUUUAGUAGAAAAAGGGAGGGUUACUUUUAAGUAUAUGAACACUUUCCUUAGCAAAAACAGGUCAGUAGAAGAGAAGGCUGCAUUCAAAACAUGACAGGAAAUAGAAGGAAGCCCUGCAAAGAACCUCUCCACAUCUCAACACAUACACUCACCCCCAGCAAGUAAAAAUAUAAAUAAAAAUUCAGACACAUUCUUCCCUGUCCAAUGGGAACAAGAAAGAAAGAAAGAGCAAAAUUUUCCAAGAAACCCACAGACAAAAUCACUUAUAUUCCACAUUGAUUAAAUUACCAUUUUUGGCAGAAACAAACAACACCUGUAAAAAGGGCAGCAUC